rnacentral:misc_RNA from 1 species
AACGCAUAUUGCGCCCUCCGUUGAGGAAGGCAUACCUGUCUGAGUGUUGUUAAAACCUCAUCAUGAGCAUCUGCUGAUGCCUCGUGGUAUUGGAAUGCUGCUUGGAAACGUUAGCGUUGAGCAUCUUCUCAAAGUGUUUCGACUUCGUUUUGGUGGAAGCAUUAGCAAUGAGUUUCUUGGAACCCUGCUGUUAUUGUGUAGAACCAAAGAAAACGAGCGUCGUUAAGCCUAGAAAUUAAGAGUUCAACCUCAGAUCAGGUAAGAAGACCCGCUGAACUUAA